UCGAACGAUUAAAGCUCCCUUCGGGGAGUGCAUAAAGUGGCGCACGGGUGAGUAACACGUAAGUAAUCUACCUUCGAGUGGGGAAUAACGUCCGGAAACGGACGCUAAUACCGCAUAAUGCAGCGGCAUCGCAAGAUGACAGUUGUUAAAGGAGCAAUCCGCUUGAAGAGGAGCUUGCGGCAGAUUAGCUUGUUGGUAAGGUAACGGCUUACCAAGGCUACGAUCUGUAACCGGUCUAAGAGGACGGUCGGUCACACUGACACUGAAUAACGGGUCAGACUCCUACGGGAGGCAGCAGUCGGGAAUUUUGGGCAAUGGGGGAAACCCUGACCCAGCAACGCCGCGUGAAGGAUGAAGUAUUUCGGUAUGUAAACUUCGAAAGAAUAGGAAGAAUUAAUGACGGUACUAUUUAUAAGGUCCGGCUAACUACGUGCCAGCAGCCGCGGUAAUACGUAGGGACCAAGCGUUG
rnacentral:rRNA from 1 species